UAGGAAUCUGCCUGGUAGUGGGGGAUAACGUUCGGAAACGGACGCUAAUACCGCAUACGUCCUACGGGAGAAAGCAGGGGACCUUCGGGCCUUGCGCUAUCAGAUGAGCCUAGGUCGGAUUAGCUAGUUGGUGGGGUAAUGGCUCACCAAGGCGACGAUCCGUAACUGGUCUGAGAGGAUGAUCAGUCACACUGGAACUGAGACACGGUCCAGACUCCUACGGGAGGCAGCAGUGGGGAAUAUUGGACAAUGGGCGAAAGCCUGAUCCAGCCAUGCCGCGUGUGUGAAGAAGGUCUUCGGAUUGUAAAGCACUUUAAGUUGGGAGGAAGGGUUGUAGAUUAAUACUCUGCAAUUUUGACGUUACCGACAGAAUAAGCAC
rnacentral:rRNA from 1 species